AACAAUUACAAAAUUGUUUUCCAAAUAAUAGCUAUCUUAUUAUACAGUUCUUAUAACAAUGAUCUUAAUUGUUUUUUGUCAAAAAUAGCAGUGGUAGGAUUCCACAUUUGAACAGUCUGUAACGAAGGAAAAGUCACCAUUUCGAAAUCCUACACUUAUUGUAAUUUCAGCUUAGCCAACAUAAAAUUUAAAUUUACCGUCACC
rnacentral:lncRNA from 1 species